UGAAUCACGCUAAGAUCCAGCCACUCUCAAGGGAAAGGAGCGACUCCCAGGCAUGAGUACCCGGAGGUGGAAAUCCAGGGAGCCACUGGAGAGAUCAAAUUCAGGGCUUUGGGAAUGCUAGAUUUUGGUGGAUAGAAGGUAGAAACCUCUGGCAAGGGUACCUAUGGCUGCAUCAGCAUGCUGGAGAAGCAGAAAGAGAAAUGGCAGAAAGGAGAAGAGACAAGAUAAACCAGUUAUUUUGGGACCGUGUCAUCUUUUCUAAUAUACAAUACAGAGGAACUGCUUAAAAAAAUCUUAACGAGCCUUGAGCUGACCUUGGAUGAGGGGAAAGCUGAGGUAGUGGGCCAUGGCCAAAAUGAGCUGGCCUGCCUUACGACUGAAGGCCAAAUCAGAAGCAAAAAGUUUUGAUCUGUGUUAAAAGAAAGAAAUGAUCUCUUAUCUGUGUUCCGAGGCAACCUCACCUUCCUGACAGCCGAACAUUAGAGUACUAGGCCUUUUGAUACAGAAAGACAUUGACUAUUUGGCCCAUGGCAAUCAUAAAAC